rnacentral:rRNA from 1 species
UACGAAGGGUGCAAGCGUUACUCGGAAUUACUGGGCGUAAAGCGUGCGUAGGUGGUUCGUUAAGUCUGAUGUGAAAGCCCUGGGCUCAACCUGGGAAUUGCAUUGGAUACUGGCGGGCUAGAGUACGGUAGGGGGUGGCGGAAUUCCUGGUGUAGCAGUGAAAUGCGUAGAUAUCAGGAGGAACAUCCGUGGCGAAGGCGGCCACCUGGACCAGUACUGACACUGAGGCACGAAAGCGUGGGGAGCAAACAGG